rnacentral:rRNA from 1 species
UACAGGGGGUGCAAACGUUGCUCGGAAUCAUUGGGCGUAAAGCGCACGUAGGCGGUUCGUUAUGUCGGAUGUGAAAGCCCUUGGCUUAACCGAGGAAGUGCAUCCGAAACUGGCGAGCUAGAGUACUAAAGAGGAUCGCGGAAUUCCCGGUGUAGAGGUGAAAUUCGUAGAUAUCGUAAGGAAGACCAGUGGCGAAGGCGGAUCUCUGGACAGUUACUGACACUGAGGCACGAAGGCCAGGGGAGCAAACGGG